rnacentral:rRNA from 1 species
UACGUAGGGGGCGAGCGUUGUCCGGAAUUACUGGGCGUAAAGGGUGCGUAGGCGGCUUUUUAAGUUGGAUGUGAAAUACCCGGGCUUAACUUGGGGGGUGCAUUCAAAACUGGAGGGCUAGAGUUCAGGAGAGGGAAGCGGAAUUCCUAGUGUAGCGGUGAAAUGCGUAGAUAUUAGGAGGAACACCAGUGGCGAAGGCGGCUUUCUGGACUGACACUGACGCUGAUGCACGAAAGCGUGGGGAGCAAACAGGAUUAGAUACC